CAGGACGAACGCUGGCGGCAUGCCUAAUACAUGCAAGUCGAGCGAACAGAUGAAGUGCUUGCACUUCUGACGUUAGCGGCGAACGGGUGAGUAACACGUAAGGAAUCUACCUAUAAGCGGGGGAUAACAUUCGGAAACGGGUGCUAAUACCGCAUAAUAUCUUCUUCCGCAUGGAAGAAGAUUGAAAGACGGCUCUGCUGUCACUUAUAGAUGACCUUGCGGUGCAUUAGUUAGUUGGUGGGGUAACGGCCUACCAAGACGAUGAUGCAUAGCCGACCUGAGAGGGUGAUCGGCCACAUUGGGACUGAGACACGGCCCAAACUCCUACGGGAGGCAGCAGUAGGGAAUCUUCCGCAAUGGGCGAAAGCCUGACGGAGCAAUGCCGCGUGAGUGAAGAAGGCCUUCGGGUCGUAAAACUCUGUUAUAAGAGAAGAACAAAUUGUAGAGUAACUGCUACAGUCUUGACGGUAUCUUAUCAGAAAGCCACGGCUAACUACGUGCCAGCAGCCGCGGUAAUACGUAGGUGGCAAGCGUUGUCCGGAUUUAUUGGGCGUAAAGGGAGCGCAGGUGGUUUCUUAAGUCUGAUGUGAAAGCCCACGGCUUAACCGUGGAGGGUCAUUGGAAACUGGGAAACUUGAGUACAGAAGAGGAAUGUGGAACUCCAUGUGUAGCGGUGGAAUGCGUAGAUAUAUGGAAGAACACCAGUGGCGAAGGCGACAUUCUGGUCUGUUACUGACACUGAGGCUCGAAAGCGUGGGGAGCAAACAGGAUUAGAUACCCUGGUAGUCCACGCCGUAAACGAUGAGUGCUAGGUGUUGGAGGGUUUCCGCCCUUCAGUGCCGCAGUUAACGCAUUAAGCA
rnacentral:rRNA from 2 species